rnacentral:rRNA from 1 species
GACGAACCGUGCGAACGUUAUUCGGAAUCACUGGGCUUAAAGGGCGCGUAGGCGGGCUCGUAAGUCAGGGGUGAAAUUCCACGGCCCAACCGUGGAAGUGCCUCUGAUACUGCGGGCCUCGAGGGGGAUAGGGGCGUGCGGAACUCAGGGUGGAGCGGUGAAAUGCGUAGAUAUCCUGAGGAACACCGGUGGCGAAAGCGGCGCGCUGGAUCCCUUCUGACGCUGAGGCGCGAAAGCCAGGGGAGCAAACGGG